CCUACGGGAGGCAGCAGUGGGGAAUAUUGCACAAUGGGCGCAAGCCUGAUGCAGCCAUGCCGCGUGUGUGAAGAAGGCCUUCGGGUUGUAAAGCACUUUCAGUCGUGAGGAAGGUAGUGUAGUUAAUAGCUGCAUUAUUUGACGUUAGCGACAGAAGAAGCACCGGCUAACUCCGUGCCAGCAGCCGCGGUAAUACGGAGGGUGCGAGCGUUAAUCGGAAUUACUGGGCGUAAAGCGCAUGCAGGUGGUUUGUUAAGUCAGAUGUGAAAGCCCGGGGCUCAACCUCGGAAUUGCAUUUGAAACUGGCAGACUAGAGUACUGUAGAGGGGGGUAGAAUUUCAGGUGUAGCGGUGAAAUGCGUAGAGAUCUGAAGGAAUACCGGUGGCGAAGGCGGCCCCCUGGACAGAUACUGACACUCAGAUGCGAAAGCGUGGGGAGCAAACAGGAUUAGAUACCCUGGUAGUCCACGCCGUAAACGAUGUCUACUUGGAGGUUGUGGCCUUGAGCCGUGGCUUUCGGAGCUAACGCGUUAAGUAGACCGCCUGGGGAGUACGGUCGCAAGAUUAAAACUCAAAGGAAUUGACGGA
rnacentral:rRNA from 1 species